GGCCGAGCCGCCGCCGGAGCCGGAACGGGCGCGUGGCGCCGCUUCCGCCGGCGGGGCUGGUGGUGCCCGCGGGGGAGGCCGGGCAAGGCCGCCGAGACUGCAUGCGUUCGGAGCGGCUGGGCCCUGUGCGGCACGCUCAGGACUUUUAUAACGGAGGGUGUUCUGCAGAGAAAAAGUUGUUUGAGUUCCAUCUUGUCCAGGACUGGUUUCCUCUCUGCUGUCACCAUGGCAAUGUCACUUAGAACUGCAUGGUCCAGCCUCCUUUGGAUGCGUUCAGCAGCAACCUGUAGGCAGGUCCCACUGCAGAAUGGAGCUGUGUAUCAUGCUUGCCAUAAAUCUACAUACUCAGUUCUCCCUGAAGACUACAAUUGCAAAGUGGAACUUGCAGUGACAUCCGAUUCGAAGACAAUUGUCUGCUACCACCCUUCGCUUGAGAUUCCAUACGAGCAUACAAAACCCAUACCACGGCCAGAUCCAGUGAAUAAUAAAGAAGAAAACCUUGAUCAAGUUUUAAAAUCCAGAUUGAAUGAAAAUGAGCUAAAGAACAGUAGAGGUCCUACAAUUGAAGAGCUUAGCAAAAUGUUUUACACAACAAAACAUCGUUGGUAUCCUGUGGGACAGUAUCAUAGAAGACGCAAGAAUCCUAAUCCUCCUAAAGACCGAUAGCGAAGAUAACUUCUCGUUCAUCAGGACUAUGCUGUUAAUUUUGAUUGGAAAUAAAAGUUACAGAAGGUCUCAAGCAACUGUCUUUGUUUCUCUUCACUUGAAAACUUGGAAUUCAGACUUCAUCCACUUGAUUAUUGUUCUACUUCCAUGCAAAAAAAAAAAAAUUUUUUUUUGAAAGUUAGUUUGGGAUUUCUGUUUUCUGCUGCCCUUGUUCUUUUUAAUUGAAAACUUAAGUUGUGUAAAAUUCACAGUGUUAAGUCUGUUCUGGCACUUUGUAUCCCAGUUUGGGCACUUAGCCAUUUGUUUUGUACCUAGUAGCUAUUGAGUUCCAGAGCAUCUUAGGCUCACUGCUGAGGAUAGUAGACAGUCGGGUACAUCUUACUGAGGGAUUUUUGGUUUUCAGAUGUCUCACUAAAAGUCUCCUCAGGCCUUGCUUGGCUUGCAUGCCAUUAGAAAACUCUGUUUCAGUCAUGUAUCAAAAAUUUUGCCCUUACCUUGCAGAAUCACAGAAUUGUUAGGUUUGGAAGGCACCUCUGGAGAUUAUAUCGUCCAACAUUUCUGCCAAGGCAAGGUCACCUGCAGCAGGUGACAGGAACACAGCCAGGUGCAUUUGGAAUGUCUACAGAGAAAACUCCACAAUCUCCUUGGACAGCCUGUUCCAGUGCUCCCGCACAGGAAUUCAGACCAUUUAAAUCGCAGUUCAAUUAAUCUUGGUGCCUAGUGAAAAGAAUUAUUUCCUCUCCUCUAAUUAUCCCCAGAUUAAACCAAAACGGAUGCUUUUAAGCCGGUGUUUUCCCUUGGGUGAGCGCGGCGGGAGCUGCCGUGCAGGCGGUGCGUGGCCCCGCCGGGAGGCAGCACCGCCCGGGGCCAGAGCGGGCCGGGCUCCGCGGGCAGCUUUAGCCGGACAGGCGGCCGUGGGCUGCUCCCGUAGUGACACUCGGGAGCACUGCGGCAAAGGCAGCUCCCUAGCACCUCCCAAAGGCCUUGCAUUUCAAAGGGCAAAGGUUUUUUUUGCCUGUUUGCUUUAAGUUUUGUAGGGUGACUCAGAGACAAAAAAAAAUCUCCACCAUCCCAGUCUGAGGAAAAAGUAAGUCGACAGUGGGGCAGUAAUGUGACCCAUGUGACAGGUGUCAUGACUUUGUUUCACUUCCCCAUGAUUGCAGUGAAGGCAGCAGUUACCCACCUGCCCAUCCACCCACCCAUCCUGCCCUCCCUCCCCACCCCUCCUAUUAAGUUCCAUAGGAAACUUCUCUCUUGCUGCUGUUAUAAUCGGUCUGAACUUCAUCUGUCAUGUCCAAGCUCUGCUGUACCACAAUAAAUUGUUGUGGCAGGUCAUUAUAAGCCACAGUACUGACUGCUUCUCAAAGCCAGCAAUGUAUUUCUCAGUUUCUCCAGCCUAUGAAUUUUAGCAGCUUCUCUGCUGUAAUUUCUCACAUGCUCAUUCCAUUCUCAAAGCCAAAAUGAAGUUAUAAAAUGGAGAGAUAAAAUAGAUGUAGGCUGUAUUCCUCAUCCGUAAUAGAUGAUGUAUGUUUUAUUUUAAUGUUACAAUAUAACAAAAUUGACCUAGAGAAAACCCACUAGUCACCAAUAUAAAGGAACAAGUUGUGUACCUAUGAUACAUAAAAUUUGGGAUUAUCUCCAAGAUUGAGACAGAUACUAAUUAGGCAUUAACUGAGUUAAUCUUCACAGGCUCCCCUUAUGGUCAGUCAACUGAAAAAGUACAUGCACAGGGCAGUUGAUCUUAUUUUAACAUUUUAUUGUCUAGAAUAUGUCACACAAUUCUCCUGUGAAGAUGCUUUUUCCUUUUCUGUGAAGGGAGGAUGAAGAUGUUUUUAUCAAUAUUGGGGCCUUUCUCUUUUUUUUUUUUUUUUUUUUUUUUUUUUUAAUUUAGGAGCACAACUAUGCAAAAUAAUCUUAAAAUUCAGAUAAAACCAUUUUUGAUGUUUCUGCUAGCCUUCAAUAGUAUAAAGUCUGUAUAUAGGAGCUCUAUAGGAGUUUUCUGUAUAGAGUAAUUCACACACAUUUAAUUUGUAAAUGUACACUGUGUAUGAGAUUUUAAUCUCACCUUGUAUUUAAUCAACCCUGUUAUGCUAAAAAUAAUAAGCUGUUUGGAGAAAUAAGAUAUUUAUUUAUAUAUCUUUCUGAUACCUCUUAUGAAAUGAGUCUAUUAUUUCAACUUUUAUCUUUAGGUACUUCUACAAAAACAAACAUGAUAAAUUAUGAUUUACUGGGCAAUUUGCAUGGAAUUAUCUGAAACUUUAAAUACAGUUGAUACAGAAUUUUAGUUCCACUGUGUAUAACUGCAGUUGUUGGAACACUGCAGAUCAGACAGUGGGAGGUAUGUCGAAGCUGGAUGAACUAAACAGCUUGUUUGGUCAGCAAUUUUGCAUCUCCUGGCUUCUGGAGAAGUAGAAGUUUAUGGCCUGGCAUGCCACUUCAUUAAAGGUCAUGAUGUAGGUGUAUGUAUCACAAAGUUUUUCAUUUUGUAGAGGCAACACAAGAUGUUGGCACAGCUAAGAAGGUUGCCAACUGGUCUUUAUGAAACAUAAAUACAGAAAAAAGUUAUGCUUAUAUUCAGCUUUACUACUUGACAAGAUGAAAAACAGUGUCAGGUCAGAGGCAAUUUACCUUUUAAAUAAGACCAGUUUUGACUGCUACCAAUGUUUAAUUACUCAGCAAAAGGAUCCCCCUACCAGCAAAAUAUGAGAAGAUUUUAAAAAUUCUGCAAGAACUGGUUUUUAGCAUCUCUUCUGGUAAUACUAAUAAAAUGUUGACCAUGAAAGUUACAGAGGAAAAUUAAAAGAACAGUGAAAAGUUAGUGCACUAAGCCAUUACCAUGUUGAAUAAAAAUUAACCUAAGUAAAAGA